UACGUAGGUGGCAAGCGUUGUCCGGAAUUAUUGGGCGUAAAGAGCUCGUAGGCGGUUUGUCACGUCGGAUGUGAAAGCCCGGGGCUUAACCCCGGGUCUGCAUUCGAUACGGGCAGACUGGAGUGUGGUAGGGGAGAUCGGAAUUCCUGGUGUAGCGGUGAAAUGCGCAGAUAUCAGGAGGAACACCGGUGGCGAAGGCGGAUCUCUGGGCCAUUACUGACGCUGAGGAGCGAAAGCGUGGGGAGCGAACAGG
rnacentral:rRNA from 1 species